GCGCCUGUGGCGGAAUUGGUAGACGCGCCAGACUUAGGAUCUGGUUUCUCCCGAAGUGCAGGUUCGAGUCCUGUCAGGCGCA
rnacentral:tRNA from 1 species